rnacentral:lncRNA from 1 species
UGUUGGAUCGAGAUCCGAGGCUAUAAGGGGGGAUAAUAGCCUCUUUUCGAUUUAUACAGGUUGAUUGCGGAAUUACCUGUAAAUGCUUAAUAAACAAAUGGUUGAACAAUAAUGAUAUAAAGAUAUUAUGAUUUUGAUUGAUAUAAUAAUGUAAUUAUUACUCUUCGAAGCUUACUCCAGUAUAUGAAUACUGAGUCAACUUGCUUGAUAGUGUUUUACACACAACUAUAGUAUAUGAAUACUAAGUUAUAUUGUAAACACAAAUUGUAUUGUAGAGUAAAUGACCAGAUAACUGGAUAUAUAAGAUAAGUAAUAUUUGAAUAAAUAUAAGGAUUUAAAGCAAUGAAUAUAACCUCAGAUAAUUGACCAGAUAACUGGAUGAGAGAUCUGCGUAAAGUAGUCAACCUCUGUAUUUGACCAGAUAACUGGAAGAGGGAUCUUUUUAAUUAAGUGUUGUUUUUAGAUAAAAGAUAAAACUAUAAUUAACAGAGAACAACACAAGAGAUUUAUACUGGUUCACCCAAACAAGGGCUAGUCCAGUCCCGACCAACUGCCGGAAUUCACUCGCCUAAAGGUAAUGGCAAAACCUUAGAGUAUCAAGGAAACUCUUAAGAACCUCUCUAAGCUUUAAGGCUACUUCGCUUAGGAACCAGUCUUUUACGGGUAGACUCACACCUUAGAGUAUCAAGGGCACUCUUAAGAACCUCUAACUUUUGCGGGUAAGUUAGUACCUUAGAGUAUCAAGGAACUCUUAAAAACCUUUCUAAGCUUUAAGGCUACUUCGCUUAAGAGUUUUCCCGGAAACUCUAUAAAACCAAACUAGAGCUUUAUGGUUGAGCUCACAAACCUUCUCUCACACUUUGGUACUAUUGAGACAACCCUCUCAACCAAAGUGGACACACACAAGAGGUGAUUAGAGGAGUGAAAUAUUAAAGCAAACAAUACUUCUUACUUGUAAAGAUGAACAAGAAGAUUAGAAGAAGAAGUUGGAGAGAUUUUGAAGCUUUGGAAAGCUAGGACACUUGAGCACUUGAAAGCUUGGAAGCUUGGAGGCAAAAACGUGUGGGCAAGUGUGGAGUGAAAGCUUUUGAGUUUGCUUGUAGUGUGGUGAGUGAAAAUAAGGGGAUUACCCUUCUAUUUAUAGCCUUGGCCACUUAAUGUCCACCCUUGGAUCUUCAAUGGAUGACUCCUUGAUUUCUCACAAAAAUCCAAGCUUUGUCUUUGAUCUUAUCUUGAAUUCUUGGAUAGUGUGUUGGUCUUAUCUCUUUGGAUAGUGUGUUGUCCUUGAAGAAUCUUAUCUUUGAAUAAUUCAACCAUGAAUAGUGUUUUGUCCCCUUGGAAUAUUAUAC